rnacentral:rRNA from 1 species
UACGUAGGGGGCAAGCGUUAUCCGGAUUUACUGGGUGUAAAGGGGGCGCGGACGGCGAUGCAAGCCAGGAGUGAAAGCCCGGGGCCCAACCCCGGGACUGCUCUUGGAACUGCGUGGCUGGAGUGCAGGAGGGGUAAGCGGAAUUCCUGGUGUAGCGGUGAAAUGCGCAGAUAUCAGGAAGAACACCGGUGGCGUAGGCGGCUUACUGGACGGCAACUGACGCUGAGGCUCGAAAGCGUGGGGAGCAAACAGG